GCGACCUCAGGUCAGGCGGGGCUACCCGCUGA
rnacentral:rRNA from 1 species